GUGUGUUUGAUUUAAGACGGCUGGCAUUUCAAGCAGCUUUAAUAUUUCUGAAGCAGUUUACAUUUUGGCACUAAUGAAACACAAAUUUAGUGCCAGAGUUUAGAUGGAGUUACUGUGUAAACAGGUGAAGUGACCUAUAGAAGGAUGCAGCAGAGUACAGUCCACAUAUCUGGUCUGAUAUUAGUAGAUAUACACAGACAUACGUAAGUGCAUUUUAAUGACGGAAGCAGACCACUCUCCUUGGCUUACCAAGCUAUUUCGGUACAUUAUGACAACACUUAUCAAAUGUUUUUUUAUGUACAUUUCUAAACCCCACACACAAACUGGUUCAGUGUGUUCUUCUACUGUUUAUCACCCGUUCAUGUGAACUCUACUUGCUUGUCUCAAGGUGUGCCAGGGGGUUGUCUUUUCAAAAACCAUGCUGACACCUCACAACACAACUCACACAACCCCACACACACAUGCAGCGUCCGGAUGUGCUUGAGCCUGUACCUACAAAACUUGUGCAACUCCAAUGAAAAUAAACCAAACUAUGACCACUCUGGGAUCUUUCAGUCAACUCUAACACCAGAAUCCAUAGAAUAUUUUCGUUUUGAAGACUUUGCAGUGGUUGUUGUGAUGAGUCUUGAAGGAGUUCCCACAUAUGCUGAGCACUUGUUAGCUGCUUUUUCUUCACUCUGCGAUCCAACUCAUUGCAAACCAUAUCAAUUGGGUUGAGGUCGGGUGAUUGUGGAG
rnacentral:lncRNA from 1 species